rnacentral:rRNA from 1 species
UUCGGAUUGCAGCCUGCAACUACGGCUGCAUGAAGCUGGAAUCGCUAGUAAUCGCGGAUCAGAAUGCCGCGGUGAAUAUGUUCCCGGGUCUUGUACACACCGCCCGUCACACCAUGGGAGUUGGAAAUGCCCGAAGUCAGUGGCCCAACCGUAAAGGAGGGAGCUGCCGAAGGCAGGUUCGAUGACCGGGGUGAAGUCGUAACAAGGUACC